UACGUAGGGGGCUAGCGUUGUCCGGAAUCAUUGGGCGUAAAGCGCGUGUAGGCGGUCCGGUAAGUCCGCUGUGAAAGUCGAGGGCUCAACCCUCGAAUGCCGGUGGAUACUGUCGGGCUUGAGUACGGGAGAGGCGAGUGGAAUUCCGAGUGUAGAGGUGAAAUUCGUAGAUAUUCGCAAGAACACCAGUGGCGAAGGCGGCUCACUGGCCCGAUACUGACGCUGAGGCACGAAAGCGUGGGGAGCAAACAGG
rnacentral:rRNA from 1 species